UACGAGGGGGGCGAGCGUUGUUCGGAAUUAUUGGGCGUAAAGGGUGCGUAGGCGGUUUUGUAAGUCUGAUGUGAAAUCUAUGGGCUCAACUCAUAGCCUGCAUCGGAAACUGCAGGGCUCGAGUGUGGGAGAGGUGAGUGGAAUUCCUGGUGUAGCGGUGAAAUGCGUAGAUAUCAGGAGGAACACCUGUGGCGAAAGCGGCUCACUGGACCACAACUGACGCUGAAGCACGAAAGCUAGGGGAGCAAACAGG
rnacentral:rRNA from 1 species